UACGUAGGUGGCAAGCGUUGUCCGGAUUUACUGGGCGUAAAGAGCGCGCAGGCGGUCGUUCAAGUCGCGUGUGAAAGCCCCCGGCUCAACUGGGGAGGGUCAUUCGAUACUGAUCGACUCGAAGGCAGGAGAGGGAAGCGGAAUUCCCGGUGUAGUGGCGAAAUGCGUAGAUAUCGGGAGGAACACCAGUGGCGAAGGCGGCUUCCUGGCCUGUUCUUGACGCUGAGGCGCGAAAGCUAGGGGAGCAAACGGG
rnacentral:rRNA from 1 species